rnacentral:rRNA from 1 species
GAUGAACGCUGGCGGCGUGCCUAAUACAUGCAAGUCGAGCGAACAGACGAGGAGCUUGCUCCUCUGACGUUAGCGGCGGACGGGUGAGUAACACGUGGAUAACCUACCUAUAAGACUGGGAUAACUUCGGGACACCGGAGCUAAUACCGGAUAAUAUAUUGAACCGCAUGGUUCAAUAGUGAAAGACGGUUUUGCUGUCACUUAUCGAUGGAUCCGCGCCGCAUUAGCUAGUUGGUAAGGUAACGGCUUACCAAGGCGACGAUGCGUAGCCGACCUGAGAGGGGGAUCGGCCACACUGGAACUGAGACACGGUCCAGACUCCUACGGGAGGCAGCAGUAGGGAAUCUUCCGCAAUGGGCGAAAGCCUGACGGAGCAACGCCGCGUGAGUGAUGAAGGUCUUCGGAUCGUAAAACUCUGUUAUGAGGGAAGAACAAAUGUGUAAGUAACUAUGCACGUCUUGACGGUACCUAAUCAGAAAGCCACGGCUAACUACGUG